rnacentral:rRNA from 1 species
UGGGGAAUAUUGCACAAUGGGCGCAAGCCUGAUGCAGCGACGCCGCGUGAGGGAUGACGGCCUUCGGGUUGUAAACCUCUUUCAGUAGGGAAGAAGCCGUAAGGUGACGGUACCUGCAGAAGAAGCGCCGGCUAACUACGUGCCAGCAGCCGCGGUAAUACGUAGGGCGCAAGCGUUAUCCGGAAUUAUUGGGCGUAAAGAGCUCGUAGGCGGUUUGUCGCGUCUGCCGUGAAAGUCCGGGGCUCAACUCCGGAUCUGCGGUGGGUACGGGCAGGCUAGAGUGAUGUAGGGGAGACUGGAAUUCCUGGUGUAGCGGUGAAAUGCGCAGAUAUCAGGAGGAACACCGAUGGCGAAGGCAGGUCUCUGGGCAUUAACUGACGCUGAGGAGCGAAAGCAUGGGGAGCGAACAGGAUUAGAUACCCUGGUAGUCCAUGCCGUAAACGUUGGGCACUAGGUGUGGGGGACAUUCCACGUUUUCCGCGCCGUAGCUAACGCAUUAAGUGCCCCGCCUGGGGAGUACGGCCGCAAGGCUAA